CAGCGCCACGAGUGGCAUACAUGUUUAUUGGGCCUAAAGCGUCCGUAGCUGGUCUUGUAAAUCUUUUGUGAAAUCAUAGGGCUUAACUCUAUGGCGUGCAGAAGACACUGCGAGACUUGGAACCGGGAGGAGUCAGAGGUAUUCUGGGGGGAGCGGUAAAAUGUUAUAAUCCCCGGAGGACCACCUGUGGCGAAGGCGUCUGACUAGAACGGAUUCGACAGUGAGGGACGAAGGCCAGGGGAGCGAACCGGAUUAGAUACCCGAGUAGUCC
rnacentral:rRNA from 1 species